GGAUUUGGAGAUCCCAUGAAUUUGGAGGGCCCUGGGGACCUGCACCUUGGAAACCAUUGAUCUAAUCCAGUCUCCUGUUUUAACAGAUGAAGGCAAGGCUGUCUCCACUACUCCUCUGCUUAUGGGUGAAUGAAAAUGGCCACCCCAGCCCUGAUUGGACAACAUCCUUCAUUUCACACGCCAGCAAUCAUGUGGAAAUCCAUUCUGACUACAUUCAAAGUGAAGGUGAAAAAAAUAAUCUUUCCAGCUGUUUGAUACAGGAAAGAGCUCAUUGCUCUGCACAGAUCUGAAGAGCUCACACUAUGCCUCUUUCCUGUGACUGUAGUGGACACAUCGUUGGCGUUCAUGUUUCUCUGUUGCUUCCUGGAGCGUCCACCCACAGUCAUUCUCCAGCCUUUCCCAUUCCUGGAUGGCAGGCAGAGCAGCACCUUGGGCGAAGGAAUGAGGGCUCAGCUGAAAUAAAUGCCUGGAGAAGACGGAUGCCUGCGGUGCAGGAGGAUUGGCCAAGGC